rnacentral:snRNA from 1 species
GGAUGUGAGGGCAUUCUGGUUGUGACAUCUGUCACUUCACUGAUCACCAGGGUUGAUUCAGUCGAUGUGGCUCAUGAGGCAGGUGUCUUCUUCCUCCCUCACUGCUCAUUUGUGUCCAUCUUGAAGCUAUAUACUGCUUGAUCUAAGAUGAUGACCUUACCCAGUACAGACAGACUGGUCUUGGGAAGAGGGUCAAUAAGUAGAUACAUUCCCUUACUAGCAAAUGCUAGAAGAACUAGAAUCUCCAAAUGAGCUGUCAAGAUGGGAUCCUGGGACUGGCUCUUCACUUU